rnacentral:misc_RNA from 1 species
UUUAUUAUAUUCAAAAAUUGAAAAAAAAAAAGGCUUGGUUCAAAGAAUUCACCAUGUGAAAGGGGUAGACCAUGUUUAGAUUUUGUCUUCACACCCACUUUCCAAUUGGGUUUUCUUCUUAACUCAGAGUAUUAUUUACACAAUGCAGAAUUUGAAUAACUUAAGGUGAAAAACCAGUCUUUAGUAUUUUGCCUAGGGUUUGCUUGUUCUACUUCAACUUUUGCUUUAGUGCUGACACUAUGGACAAGGUGGGCAAGGGUUCGGAGGUGGAAUGCCAUGCUAGUAGGUCCAAGUCUGACAAACAGCCCAAUGACAAAGGCAAGGGUGGGGUGAAAGUCAUGGAGGGUUCUUAAGGUGGACUUGGCAAAAUUUGCAUAAGACACAGUAAGAGUAAUAUCAUGACAGAAUUUCUUGUGGUUCAGCAAUGUGCCUAAAUCCACAAGCUACCUAACUUUUCUACUCAAUUCAACUCAACUCAACUCAACUAAGUCUUU